rnacentral:rRNA from 1 species
AGUGAACGCUGGCGGUAGGCCUAACACAUGCAAGUCGAACGGCAGCACAGUAAGAGCUUGCUCUUACGGGUGGCGAGUGGCGGACGGGUGAGGAAUACAUCGGAAUCUACUUUUUCGUGGGGGAUAACGUAGGGAAACUUACGCUAAUACCGCAUACGACCUACGGGUGAAAGCAGGGGAUCUUCGGACCUUGCGCGAUUGAAUGAGCCGAUGUCGGAUUAGCUAGUUGGCGGGGUAAAGGCCCACCAAGGCGACGAUCCGUAGCUGGUCUGAGAGGAUGAUCAGCCACACUGGAACUGAGACACGAUCCAGACGCCUACGGGAGGCAGCAGUGGGGAAUAUUGGACAAUGGGCGCAAGCCUGAUCCAGCCAUACCGCGUGGGUGAAGAAGACCUUCGGGUUGUAAAGCCCUUUUGUGGGGAAAGAAAAGCAGCAGGUUAAUACCCCGCUGUUCUGACGGUACCCGAAGAAUAAGCACCGGCUAACUUCGUG